CUGUUCUUGCUGCUUUCUGUUACAGAUGUGAAGAUGGAGGAGGGAGCAGGGCCAUACAACCAGGCAUCUGUGGAAGGAUAUCCUGGCAUUGCCAUGAAACCAGAAGAGAAAGAGGAAAUGAAUAACCAGGGAACCAAGGAAAAAGAAAGCAUUGCUCGUGACCCAUCAGGAAUUCUUAACCUUUUCAUAAAACCAGAGGAGGCAGAAGAGUUUUACAACCAGGGACCCAAAGGAAAUACAAGCAUGGCUGGUCUUCA